rnacentral:rRNA from 1 species
AAACUUGAGAGUUUGAUCAUGGCUCAGAACGUACGCUGGCGGCACGCCUAACACAUGCAAGUCGAACGAAGUAGCAAUACUUAGUGGCAGACGGGUGAGUAACAUGUAGGUAUCUGCCCUUUGGCCUGGAAUAACACGAGGAAACUUGUGCUAAUACCGGAUAAGUCUUUACGGAGAAAGCUUUAUGCACCAUUGGAUGAGCCUGCACUUGAUUAGUUUGUUGGUGGGGUAAUGGCCUACCAAGACUGUGAUCAAUAGCUGAUUUGAGAGGAUGAUCAGCCACAUUGGGACUGAGACACGGCCCAAACUCCUACGGGAGGCAGCAGUGGGGAAUCUUGCACAAUGGAGGAAACUCUGAUGCAGCGAUGCCGCGUGAGUGAAGAAGGCCCUUGGGUUGUAAAGCUCUUUCGUCGGGGAAGAAAAUGACUGUACCCGAAUAAGAAGGUCCGGCUAACUUCGUGCCAGCAGCCGCGGUAAUACGAAGGGACCUAGCGUAGUUCGGAAUUACUGGGCUUAAAGAGUUCGUAGGUGGUUGAAAAAGUUAGUGGUGAAAUCCCAGAGCUUAACUCUGGAACUGCCAUUAAAACUUUUCAGCUAGAGUAUGAUAGAGGAAAGCAGAAUUUCUAGUGUAGAGGUGAAAUUCGUAGAUAUUAGAAAGAAUACCGAUUGCGAAGGCAGCUUUCUGGAUCAUUACUGACACUGAGGAACGAAAGCAUGGGUAGCGAAGAGGAUUAGAUACCCUCGUAGUCCAUGCCGUAAACGAUGUGUGUUAGACGUUGGAAAUUUAUUUUCAGUGUCGCAGGGAAACCGAUAAACACACCGCCUGGGGAGUACGACCGCAAGGUUAAAACUCAAAUGAAUUGACGGGGACCCGCACAAGUAGUGGAGCAUGUGGUUUAAUUCGAAGAUACGCGCAGAACCUUACCAACACUUGACAUGUUCGUCGCGACUUUAAGAGAUUAAAGUUUUCGGUUCGGCCGGACGAAACACAGGUGCUGCAUGGCUGUCGUCAGCUCGUGUCGUGAGAUGUUGGGUUAAGUCCCGCAACGAGCGCAACCCUCACUUUUAGUUGCCAUCAUUAAGUUGGGCACUCUGAAAGAACUGCCAGUGAUAAGCUGGAGGAAGGUGGGGAUGACGUCAAGUCCUCAUGGCCCUUACGUGUUGGGCUACACACGUGCUACAAUGGUAUCUACAACAGGAAGCAAGACUGCGAAGUUAAGCAAAUCCCUAAAAGAUACCUCAGUUCGGAUUGCACUCUGCAACUCGAGUGCAUGAAGCUGGAAUUACUAGUAAUCGUGGAUCAGCGUGCCACGGUGAAUGCGUUCCCGGGUCUUGUACACACCGCCCGUCACACCAUGGGAGUUGGUUCUACCUUAAGGCAAGGUUUUAAACCCUUGACCACGGUAUAGUCAGCGACUGGGGUGAAGUCGUAACAAGGUAGCCGUAGGGGAACCUGCGGCUGGAUUACCUCCUUU